GGAUGGGAUCCGAAGCCCCAUUGAGGGAUAAUACAGGCUCUCCCAUCCAACUCCUAUUCCGACACGUCCUCGUCGUGCAGAGUNN
rnacentral:ribozyme from 1 species